GACGAACGCUGGCGGCGUGCUUAACACAUGCAAGUCGAACGGAAAGGCCUGCUUUCCCUUGUGGAUUGCGGGUACUCGAGUGGCGAACGGGUGAGUAACACGUGAGUGAUCUGCCCCCAACUUGGGUAUAAGCCUGGGAAACUGGGUCUAAUUCCCGAUAGGACUGCAGGGUGGUGCCUGUGGUGGAAAACGAUUUUCUAGUGGUUGGGGAUGAGCUCGCGGCCUAUCAGCUUGUUGGUGGGGUAAUGGCCUACCAAGGCGGCGACGGGUAGCCGGCCUGGGAGGGUGGACGGCCACAUUGGGACUGAGAUACGGCCCAGACUCCUACGGGAGGCAGCAGUGGGGAAUAUUGCACAAUGGGCGGAAGCCUGAUGCAGCGACGCCGCGGGGGGGAUGACGGCCUUCGGGUUGUAAACUCCUUUCGACCGCGAGGAAGCCACCUGGUUGGAAGGGUGGUGACGGUAGUGGUAGAAGAAGCACCGGCUAACUACGUG
rnacentral:rRNA from 1 species